CGCACGGGUGCGUAACGCGUAUGCAAUCUACCUUUUACAGAGGGAUAGCCCAGAGAAAUUUGGAUUAAUACCUCAUAGUGUUCUAGAGUGGCAUCACUUUAUGACUAAAGUUCCAACGGUAAAAGAUGAGCAUGCGUCCUAUUAGCUAGAUGGUAAGGUAACGGCUUACCAUGGCUACGAUAGGUAGGGGUCCUGAGAGGGAGAUCCCCCACACUGGUACUGAGACACGGACCAGACUCCUACGGGAGGCAGCAGUGAGGAAUAUUGGACAAUGGGCGCAAGCCUGAUCCAGCCAUGCCGCGUGCAGGAAGACGCAUCUAUGGUGUGUAAACUGCUUUUGUACGGGAAGAAACACUCCUACGUGUAGGAGCUUGACGGUACCGUAAGAAUAAGGAUCGGCUAACUCCGUGCCAGCAGCCGCGGUAAUACGGAGGAUCCAAGCGUUAUCCGGAAUCAUUGGGUUUAAAGGGUCCGUAGGCGGUUUGAUAAGUCAGUGGUGAAAGCCCAUCGCUCAACGAUGGAACGGCCAUUGAUACUGUCAGGCUUGAAUUACUAGGAAGUAACUAGAAUAUGUAGUGUAGCGGUGAAAUGCUUAGAUAUUACAUGGAAUACCAAUUGCGAAGGCAGGUUACUACUAGUGGAUUGACGCUGAUGGACGAAAGCGUGGGGAGCGAACAGGAUUAGAUACCCUGGUAGUCCACGCCGUAAACGAUGGAUACUAGCUGUUCGGAGCAAUCUGAGUGGCUAAGCGAAAGUGAUAAGUA
rnacentral:rRNA from 1 species